rnacentral:tRNA from 1 species
GGGGUUGUGGCUCAGUGGUAAAGCACUCGCCUAGCAUGUGUGAGGCCCUGGGUUCAAUCCUCAGCACCACA